UACGAAGGGUGCAAGCGUUAAUCGGAAUUACUGGGCGUAAAGCGUGCGUAGGCGGUUAUUUAAGUCUGUUGUGAAAUCCCCGGGCUCAACCUGGGAAUGGCAAUGGAUACUGGAUAGCUAGAGUGUGAUAGAGGAUGGUGGAAUUCCCGGUGUAGCGGUGAAAUGCGUAGAGAUCGGGAGGAACAUCAGUGGCGAAGGCGGCGAUCUGGGUAGAUACUGACGCUGAGGUGCGAAAGCGUGGGGAGCAAACAGG
rnacentral:rRNA from 1 species